rnacentral:rRNA from 1 species
UACGUAGGGCGCAAGCGUUGUCCGGAUUUACUGGGCGUAAAGAGCGCGCAGGCGGUCGUUCAAGUCGCGUGUGAAAGCCCCCGGCUCAACUGGGGAGGGUCACGCGAUACUGAUCGACUCGAAGGCAGGAGAGGGUAGUGGAAUUCCCGGUGUAGUGGUGAAAUGCGUAGAUAUCGGGAGGAACACCAGUGGCGAAGGCGACUACCUGGCCUGUUCUUGACGCUGAGGCGCGAAAGCUAGGGGAGCAAACGGGG